rnacentral:lncRNA from 1 species
UAUUAUUGAUUAAAAGUGAUUGGAUAAUAAAUUUAUUAGUUUCCAAGUACUCUUUUAAAUGAAGGUGGCUUUUUUUUUAAAGGUUAAUAAACCAUCGUAAAAGAUUCUCUACAAUAGUGAUUUUGUGUUUCACUAUUAUGUAAUCGUCGCAACCAGCUUUUUGUAACAAUAAUUAGUGUCGCUAAAGGCCCUAUCUUUUGUAGUAAUUAAUUAGGUGUUCAAUGGCUCAUUUUUGUCUCCUCUCCAUCUUUCUCGACCAUCAUCACUCAAGAGUCAAGUGUUAACUGCACUCAAAAGAUUAUUUUCAAAAGUCAUUUUAUCCUAAGUAUGACUUAUAUAUAAAAAUUUUAAACCUUUAGUUCUUUUUUAAUUUUAUAAAAAUAUCAGGGACUGCCAUAUAGUUAAGCCACAAAAAGACAAAAGUUAUGGAAAGUUGCAGCAAUUGCAACGUUGUUUUAUCCUCAAAUUUAAAAUAGCUCUCGAACUUUGACUAUUUCGUAAAACUUUUCCAUUAAAUUUCAACUGACUCAUACUUAUAAUUUUUUUUAUUUGUAAAAUA